rnacentral:rRNA from 1 species
UACAGAGGUGGCAAGCGUUGUUCGGAAUCACUGGGCAUAAAGGGCGCGUAGGCGGCGAGGCAAGUCGGGUGUGAAAUCCCUCAGCUCAACUGAGGAACUGCGCCCGAAACUACCUUGCUAGAGUGCAGGAGAGGAGAGUGGAACUCCUAGUGGAGCGGUGAAAUGCGUAGAGAUUAGGAGGAACGCCGGUGGCGAAAGCGACUCUCUGGCCUGUUACUGACGCUGAGGCGCGAAAGCUAGGGGAGCAAACGGG